CAGCAAUACCUAAUGAGCAAUUAAAGUGACUUACUGAGAGUGAAGGCUUCUUGCAGGUCACAGCAGCCAUAUGUCACAUCAGACAUAAGGCACUGAACAGAAGCAAUUCAACGGAAUCAUGUCAUCCAUCAGGCAAAAUACAUGCAGAGUCUUGUCUGAUCUCCCAGAAGGAGCAAUGCUGUGUGUGUAUGUUUUGUUUUGUUUUCUUGUUCUGAGUUAUCACUUGGUAGAUGGUCCUGUUCCUAUUUUGCUAUACAGCAAAGAAUUACAAAGCCUUGUCAAUUCUGCCUCCUAAAACUAUCUCUG
rnacentral:lncRNA from 1 species